UCACUUUAGUAGUACAUUUACUAAAAUUGGAAUGAUACAGAUUAUAUUAGCAUGGCCCCUGUUCGGGGAUAGCAAACAUAUUACUGAAGUGUUCCACAUUUUA
rnacentral:snRNA from 1 species